AGGCAGCAGUGAGGAAUAUUGGUCAAUGGGCGAGAGCCUGAACCAGCCAAGUAGCGUGAAGGAUGACUGCCCUAUGGGUUGUAAACUUCUUUUAUAAAGGAAUAAAGUCGGGUAUGCAUACCCGUUUGCAUGUACUUUAUGAAUAAGGAUCGGCUAACUCCGUGCCAGCAGCCGCGGUAAUACGGAGGAUCCGAGCGUUAUCCGGAUUUAUUGGGUUUAAAGGGAGCGUAGAUGGAUGUUUAAGUCAGUUGUGAAAGUUUGCGGCUCAACCGUAAAAUUGCAGUUGAUACUGGAUAUCUUGAGUGCAGUUGAGGCAGGCGGAAUUCGUGGUGUAGCGGUGAAAUGCUUAGAUAUCACGA
rnacentral:rRNA from 1 species